UACGUAGGGUGCAAGCGUUGUCCGGAAUUAUUGGGCGUAAAGAGCUCGUAGGCGGUCUGUCGCGUCUGCUGUGAAAACUCAGGGCUUAACCCUGAGCUUGCAGUGGGUACGGGCAGACUAGAGUGCGGUAGGGGAGACUGGAAUUCCGUGGUGAUAGCGGUGAAAUGCGCAGAUAUCAGGAGGAACACCGGUGGCGAAGGCGGGUCUCUGGGCCGUAACUGACGCUGGAGGAGCGGAAAGCAUGGGGAGCGAAACAGGA
rnacentral:rRNA from 1 species